AGUGAACGCUGGCGGUAGGCCUAACACAUGCAAGUCGAACGGCAGCACAGUAAGAGCUUGCUCUUACGGGUGGCGAGUGGCGGACGGGUGAGGAAUACAUCGGAAUCUACUUUUUCGUGGGGGAUAACGUAGGGAACCUUACGCUAAUACCGCAUACGACCUACGGGUGAAAGCAGGGGAUCUUCGGACCUUGCGCGAUUGAAUGAGCCGAUGUCGGAUUAGCUAGUUGGCGGGGUAAAGGCCCACCAAGGCGACGAUCCGUAGCUGGUCUGAGAGGAUGAUCAGCCACACUGGAACUGAGACACGGUCCAGACUCCUACGGGAGGCAGCAGUGGGGAAUAUUGGACAAAGGGCGCAAGCCUGAUCCAGCCAUACCGCGUGGGUGAAGAAGGCCUUCGGGUUGUAAAGCCCUUUUGUUGGGAAAGAAAAGCAGCAGGUUAAUACCCCGCUGUUCUGACGGUACCCAAAGAAUAAGCACCGGCUAACUUCGU
rnacentral:rRNA from 1 species